GGGGGUGACAUGGCUUCGACGCGGGUCACGAAACUCUAGGUGCAUGUCGAGGGGUAGAGCCUCGUAAAAAUCUGCA
rnacentral:tmRNA from 1 species